GCAAUCUCAGGGGGAAGUUGUACUGAGGCAUACUGUAUCAGGAAGUAUUCGGGCUGAUUGCUCUUGGUACGCUGUAGGUAUUGGCUAUUAACGAUAGUCAAUAGAAGGGCAUUAAUAGCGCAGACCUGUUAGGAAAAAAAGCAGGCGCAUAUUGAGGGAACCCAACG
rfam:Photobacterium aphoticum strain DSM 25995 contig0057, whole genome shotgun sequence.